CAGAGUCGCGUAAUUUCACAUAAGGUUGUUCUACAGAAAUUGUAAGGAAAGUUAUAAAAGACUAAACUCUGACUUAUGGAUUUUCAACUGCACUACUGGAAAUCAUCGGGAUCACCAGCGUUCGCAUAAUUAGCGAUCUACGCUACAAAAUUGUUUACGUCCUCGGGGAAAAUUAGUGUUGAGUGUCCAAAGACGUAAUUAUUCUGGGUGAAUUGUUUUUAGGUGCUUACAAGAGGUGAUUAUUCCUAUCGAUUUUCUAUUUUUGUCGUGGUGAAGUGCAUGCUGAAGACUACAAAGAAUGCUCGAAGUUCUUGGACAGUUUGUCAGCGUUUCUGAACUAAUAAAAUCGGAGCGACUCUGUUCAAUAGUGUCUUGUUUUUGAUAUCAUUGAUUUUUCAGCAGGUGCGCGCAACGCUUUGAGCGUCGAUAAAUGCAUAUACAAAAAGCGGAAAAUGCUGAAUUGAAAACAUUCACAACGGGUAAAACCUAAUGAGAAACAUAAAUAAUGGAAGUUUAAUAACUCUUUUCCCAGUGUGCAACAGGUUUUAUGCGUUAUGCAAUCCGGAAAAAGUAAAUUUUAUAUAGACCUUGAUAACUUUUUACUCGGCGAAGUCCAAAGUGGUGCAAACUCCUCGAGCGAGGCAUUACCGUACUUCUAAAGGUCGUCGACUGGCCUUGGCGAAGAGAUCGAAGACGAUCAGCCGAAGGAGAUCUUAUGAGAUGCGGUGCAACACCCGUCAACCUUUGUACUAUUAUACCCAGUGGCAAGAUAAUGAGCGGCUAGUAUAAUUUCACCAGUGUGUUCCGCGAUCACGACCAAAAUGUGUGAUCGGAAAAAAAUCUGGCGCGACGGAAACACUAGUUGCUCAACGCCACGCCAAUCAAUGGUGUACGGGAACCGUUUUAGAACGAUUCCUAUGUAACGAAUAAAAAGUGUUAAAAAAAAUCAA